rnacentral:rRNA from 1 species
AACGUAGGAGACAAACGUUAUCCGGAGUUACUGGGCGUAAAGCGUGUGUAGGCGGCCACGUAAGUCGGAUGUGAAAGCCCCGGGCUCAACCCGGGAAGUGCACUCGAUACUGCGUGGCUUGAGUACUGGAGAGGUUGGUGGAAUUCUCGGUGUAGAGGUGAAAUUCGUAGAUAUCGAGAGGAACACCGGUGGCGAAGGCGACCAACUGGACAGAUACUGACGCUGAGACACGAAAGCGUGGGGAGCAAACAGG